rfam:Caprimulgus carolinensis contig38823, whole genome shotgun sequence.
CUGGAGGUGAUGACAAACUCAAGAGCUGACACCAGUGAUGGCUGUUGUGUUCGUACUGUCUGAUCCGU